rnacentral:sRNA from 1 species
CAAUCUUAACAAGAAGACAAGAAAAAACAAAAAAAAAUCAAAGAGAAAAUUGGGAGAAACUAGAAGAAGAAAUAAAAAGACAAAAAUGGGGAAGAGGUGGGAGAUAGAAAGAAACAGUUGUUAGGUGGUGUUGAAAACGUGUGAAGUCUUCUUUGGCUAUAAGGGCACAACUGUCCACUUUGCUGCGACACACGUCUUCUCUUCUCUCUCUGACCAAAAUAAUCACAUGUCAUGCGGAUUAGAUUCUUCUUCUUCGUAUCGUACGUACUACAUGAUCAGUUGAAGUUCCGACGUUAGCUGAUAUUACCUAAACACCCUCCUUCAUCACCGCCCCCAACUUGUGUGAUGUGUGAACCAGAGAAGACUUUUUCUUUUUUAAGAUGCAAAAAUCAGUUACUCUUUUCUUCAUUUUUCUGUAUACUAUUCUUAAUAUCAUUCCAUUUUCGUAUAAAUUUAGAAAAUCUGAUAUUAAUAUCAUCC